rfam:Reichenbachiella agariperforans strain DSM 26134 genome assembly, contig: Ga0070003_101
UCCAUAGGUCGCCUUAUCGCUGCUGCCGUAUGGCAGGAGAGGAAAGUCCGGGCAACGUAGAGCAUCGUACUUCCUAACGGGAAGUCUUAGAUGAAAAUCUGGGAAGAAAGUGCAACAGAGAGUAUACCGCCUUGAGCUAAGCUGUCGUCAGGCAGACUAGUCGAAGGGUAAGGGUGAAAGGGUGAGGUAAGAGCUCACCGGUUCUGCAGUGAUGCAGAUCGCAUGGUAAACCUUACGAGUUGAAAGAUCAAAUAGGUCCUGUCAGGAGCUGCUCGCUCCACUCUCUUCGGAGAAAACAGGAUGGGUAGAUUGAUAGAUUUUGGCAGUAAUGUCAAGGCUAGAUAAAUGAUAAGGGUCUCGAUUCGUCGAGAUACAGAACCCGGCUUAUAGACCUAUUAUUAAC